rnacentral:misc_RNA from 1 species
CAGUUUCCUAGUGACCAUAACCGUAGUUCACCUAUCAGUGUUGGUGGUAAUGUUGACUUUCAGACUACGGCCACAAAUUCUACCCCACAUGUGGCUGCUGCUAAUGCACAAGAGGCAACACCAACAGUGGGUAUUGAAGGAGCUUUCAUCUCUAAUUUGCUUCAUCAAAUGAUGCCCUUCAUAGCUCAAAAUGUAGCCUUGGGAUCAGAAGUGGCAUCUUCAGGGAGAGAUGCUGGUAAUACAGAAGCUUCAACACAGGCUUCAGACUCAGAUGUUGGCACUUCCUCCAGGCCACUAGGUGACCCUUCAUUUGCUGGUCCUAGCAAGCGUCAAAAGAGGGACUGAUUUAUCUUGAAGUCCUGUAUAUGAAAGCAACACUGGUGCGCUUGAACUCUUAUGGCAACAUCGAAUUAGGGCGA